AAGAGUGAUCUGAAAGCCCAGUUUUGAGAGGGUAAUAUUUGAGAAUUGAGGGAACCUUGUUAGAACUUAGAAGGGACAUUUUCUGGGCAAAGGUGGUUAAUAAUGUUGAUAAGGAUUGAGGAUACAGAUUUUGCCACACUUCAAUAUGCGGUUCAGAAGCCUUCUGACAACGGUGUGUGAAGCAAGAAUUAUCAACCAAGGUUCCUGCAAGCUAUGUGACAUUUUAGAUUCCAAUGCACAUAAAAUUUAUGUAUAUAAAGAUGGACACUGAAAUCAAAUCAGGCAUUUCAUUUAGUCCUUUGUACUGUAUACUAGUAGUAUGUUGCUGGCCAUCAUUUGUUGAAAACUUAAAAUGUUAGAAAUAGUAAAAGGGUGACAAAUUGUAAUAAUGUAUUUAUCAAACAUUUAAUCAGCUCGUUUGAAUUCACGAUUUGAUGUGGUAUGAGAUGAACUAAUUAAUUUUUUUUUC
rnacentral:lncRNA from 1 species